UUGAACGCUGGCGGCAUGCUUUACCCCUGCCAGUCGAACGGCAGCGCGGGCUUCGGCCUGGCGGCGAGUGGCGAACGGGUGAGUAAUACAUCGGAACGUGCCCAGUAGUGGGGGAUAGCUCGGCGAAAGCCGGAUUAAUACCGCAUACGACCUGAGGGUGAAAGCGGGGGAUCUUCGGACCUCGCGCUAUUGGAGCGGCCGAUGGCAGAUUAGCUAGUUGGUGGGGUAAAGGCCUACCAAGGCGACGAUCUGUAGCUGGUCUGAGAGGACGACCAGCCACACUGGGACUGAGACACGGCCCAGACUCCUACGGGAGGCAGCAGUGGGGAAUUUUGGACAAUGGGCGAAAGCCUGAUCCAGCAAUGCCGCGUGUGUGAUGAAGGCCUUCGGGUUGUAAAGCACUUUUGGCGGGAACGAGAAGGACUGUGCCAAUACCACGGUUCGAUGACGGUACCCGCAGAAUAAGCACCGGCUAACUACGUG
rnacentral:rRNA from 1 species